rnacentral:rRNA from 1 species
UGGGGAAUAUUGCACAAUGGGCGCAAGCCUGAUGCAGCAACGCCGCGUGAGGGACGACGGCCUUCGGGUUGUAAACCUCUUUUAGUAGGGAAGAAGCGAAAGUGACGGUACCUGCAGAAAAAGCACCGGCUAACUACGUGCCAGCAGCCGCGGUAAUACGUAGGGUGCGAGCGUUGUCCGGAAUUAUUGGGCGUAAAGAGCUCGUAGGCGGUCUGUCGCGUCUGCUGUGAAAACCCGAGGCUCAACCUCGGGCCUGCAGUGGGUACGGGCAGACUAGAGUGCGGUAGGGGAGAAUGGAGUUCCUGGUGUAGCGGUGGAAUGCGCAGAUAUCAGGAGGAACACCGAUGGCGAAGGCAGUUCUCUGGGCCGUAACUGACGCUGAGGAGCGGAAGCGUGGGGAGCGAACAGGAUUAGAUACCCUGGUAGUCCACGCCGUAAACGUUGGGCGCUAGAUGUGGGGACCAUUCCACGGUUUCCGUGUCGCAGCUAACGCAUUAAGCGCCCCGCCUGGGGAGUACGGCCGCAAGGCUAAAACUUGAAAGGAAUUGACGGGGUCAUAGCUGUUUCCU